CACCUGGAAGUCAUCUUUGCAAUCAGUGGUGGAGUUAUCAACCACAGAGGCUGAAUACAUUGCCCUCACUGAGGCAAUAAAGGAGGCAGUAUGCCUUAGAGGAAUCACAUCUGAUUUUGGGGCAGUCCAAGAUUCACUCACCAUUCUGUGCGACAAUAAUGGAGCAAUUUGUUUGGCGAAACAUCAGGUGUUUAGGGUUUAGGGUUUAGGGCAAAACAUAUUGACAUUAGGCUGCACUUCAUAAGAGAUAUAAUUGAAGGAGGAGAAAUCAAAGUAGUGAAGGUGGGAACAUUAGAUAAUGCUGCCGAUGUUCUAACAAAAGCCUUACCAGUUGCAAAAUUCAGGCACUGCCUGAAGCUGGUGGGGAUGACUGAUUGUUGAGGCAAAGUUUGGAAAUGGAAAUAGCACAUGAUCUGUUUCAAGCCCAAGGUGGAGAUUGUUGGGAAAAGUUGGUCUUGAAAGGGCUCGAACCCACAAGCUGGUGGGACCUUUUAAGUAAGCUUAAGUCAAACAGCUAUUUUGAGUUAGUUGCAACAGAUGACUGCAUCGGACGGUGGAGAUAAAAGGGGGUUUUGGCACUCGAUCAGGACCAUCGAUCUGGACAUAUACCUUGCUAUAGCUUAGCUCAUUUCAAUUCAGAGAAGAAAAACGAGAGACAGAGAGAGAUUGAGAUCAGUUAGAGAAGAAGAAGAGUCUUCAUUCUUGCUGCGAAGUUUCAGCUCGAGAUUGCUGUUACUUGGUCGAUUUGAGCUAGAGGAAUUGUCGACGGAAGGAGAGGAGAUGGAACAUGGUGCACCGCCUGCUUUCCUUUUCUCUAGGAUUAGGGAUCAUUUGAGAGGAAUAUAAUGAAAUUGGGCUGAA